ensembl:miRNA
UGUCGGAGCCUCCGGGCCUGGGACGGACUCCUCAUGGUCCGGUUUCGGGUUCAGGUUCUCCGGCU